rnacentral:rRNA from 1 species
ACUGCCAUCAAAACUUUUUAGCUAGAGUAUGAUAGAGGAAAGCAGAAUUUCUAGUGUAGAGGUGAAAUUCGUAGAUAUUAGAAAGAAUACCAAUUGCGAAGGCAGCUUUCUGGAUCAUUACUGACACUGAGGAACGAAAGCAUGGGUAGCGAAGAGGAUUAGAUACCCUCGUAGUCCAUGCCGUAAACGAUGUGUGUUAGACGUUGGAAAUUUAUUUUCAGUGUCGCAGCGAAAGCAUUAAACACACCGCCUGGGGAGUACGACCGCAAGGUUAAAACUCAAAUGAAUUGACGGGGACCCGCACAAGUAGUGGAGCAUGUGGUUUAAUUCGAAGAUACGCGCAGAACCUUACCAACACUUGACAUGUUCGUCGCGACUUUAAGAGAUUAAAGUUUUCGGUUCGGCCGGACGAAACACAGGUGCUGCAUGGCUGUCGUCAGCUCGUGUCGUGAGAUGUUGGGUUAAGUCCCGCAACGAGCGCAACCCUCACUUUUAGUUGCCAUCAUUUAGUUGGGCACUCUGAAAGAACUGCCAGUGAUAAGCUGGAGGAAGGUGGGGAUGACGUCAAGUCCUCAUGGCCCUUACGUGUUGGGCUACACACGUGCUACAAUGGCAUUUACAAUAGGAAGCAAGAUGGCGACGUCAAGCAAAUCCUAAAAAGAUGCCUCAGUUCGGAUUGUACUCUGCAACUCGAGUACAUGAAGCUGGAAUUACUAGUAAUCGCGGAUCAGCGCGCCGCGGUGAAUACGUUCCCGGGUCUUGUACACACCGCCCGUCACACCAUGGGAGUUGGUUCUACCUUAAGGCAAGGUUUAAAACCCUUGACCACGGUAUAGUCAGCGACUGGGGUGAAGUCGUAACAAGGUAGCCGUA